GAAGAGGAUGACGGAGCAGCUAAGGGACUUGUUCUAAAAAUGCAUUUGUUUAGCGAGCAUGCUGAUUUCUUUAGAUUGUAUGUUUAUUAUCUGGAGGGCCUGGAUAGGACUGGAGGUGAGGAGGGGUUGAUGUACAGCACUGACGUUUUUCGGCAAUAUUGUCCAGCAUUUGAGAUGCAUUCUGGAUGAAGACAUCUGUCUGUUUGAAAGGUUUCGGUAUCAGAGGAAGGAAGGAAAUGAGAAAGAAGUUUGGGGCUCUGAGAAUAAGACACCUCAGUUUUAUCAGCCAUGAAGUACAUACCACGGAGGACGAUUAUUUGCAUACUGCAAUGGAGGCUGGUUAAAGUCCAAUCAAUUGAAUCCAGAUGUGAAUUUCUUUUGAGAUUUUUUUUUUUUUUAAGUGAGGGUUGCCAAAACUUCAUGGGAGCAGAGACCACAAGCUAUUAUAAGCCAAAGGACUCUCAAAGUACAAGGAACGGUUUUUGGCUUAUUAGAAGUCCUACAUCUUUAAGGUGAAAUCUGAUAGAACAUUGAAGUAUGCGCUGGGGAUUUGAAGCCUGAACUCACAUGCUGUCCCAUGUCUCACCACCUCCACACCUCUCUGGACAGGUUCUCAGCCCCCAGCUCCCCACUACCUGGAGCUGCAUGCAGCACUUGACCUCCCCCUUCCCCCAUCCCCACACAUGGGAAAUAAGCCACCCUUCUUCUGGGGUGGCAACCAGGUUGCAUCGACAAGGAGAGGCUGCGAUCCAUCAUUGCCGUCUGUUCCUGCUGGAGACCUGGACAUGACCAUGGGGAGGAUCAUGGUCAGGCAUGUGUCCCCUGGGGCAUCUCAGUGCAGCAAGGAGGUAGCUGACAACUGGAAUGACUGGCUGGAGGCCUUUUGCCCAGCCCUGAUCCAGGUACUACCUAUGUUCUAGCACAGAGGUAACAAUCCCUUGGGUGUUAUCCAUUUGCCAGUGGGUUGGGAAGACUGACAUCCCCACCCCAACCAAGGCCCCACAUUUUCAUUUUGCUCUAAGGCCAAAAAUGUAUGUAGUUGGCCCUGACCCUGAGGCAGGUAUUACUGUCCUCCUACCUCAGAUGGAAAACUAGAGUCUAAGAAGAGCAGGUAAGUGGCAGAGAAGGUGGUCUCACUCUAAAGCCCGUCCUCUCUUCACCAUGGUGUGCCAUACCACCUCCCCUGAGGUGAAUGAGAGGGGUCUCAAAGUGCUGACUUUUGGUGCAUGCCCAUUCCCUUGGAGUGGCCUGGAGGUGACAAGGAGCCCUCGUUUAAGAACACAGAUCUGCACUUAAAGGACUCAAGGUCUUUAUGGUUUCUUCUGGUGGACAAGUGUGAACAUUUAAAGAAAAUUUUGAGCUCCAGGCUCAUUCUUAUGACUGAAUUUUGUCCCUCUAAAAUGUAUAUGUUGAAGUCCUAAUCCCCCAAUUCCUCAGAAUGCUACCGUAUUUGGAAACAGGGCUGUCAAAGACAUGAUUAAGUUAAACUGAGGCUGUUAGUGUGGUCCCUAGUCCAAUUUUACUCAUGUCUUUAUAAGAAGAGGAAAUUGAAAUACAAAUUGCUGAGUGUGCACAUGAGAAAUACCAUGUAAGGACAAAGCAAGAAGACGGUUAUCUGUAAGCCAAGGAGAGAGGUCUCACAAGAAACAAGAGGCCUCACAAGAAACAGAAAACAAGGAGAGAGGCCUCAUAAGAAAUCAAACCUUGAUUUUGGACUUCUAGCCUCCAGAACUGUGAGAAAAUAAAUUUAUGUUGUUUAAAUCACCCAAUCGGUAGUUUUUUUUUAUGGUAGCCCUAGCAAAUUAAUAUAACCACUGAGACCCUGAUAUAUUAAUCCAUCAAUAUUUGCUGGCCUAAAAAAGCAUAGGAACAUGAUUCUAUCAAGUGUUAUAAAAAUGAAGAGGUAUCUAUAAAAAUCCCUAGGAGAAUGAGAGAGAGAAAACUGGAUAAGGUGAAAAGAAAAAAAUUAAGAUACUAAGGUAAGGAACCAUUAGGUGUUGCUCUUCACCUUUAUUUAUUUUUUAUAUAAAUAAGUGAUAUGUGAAUAAUAUAUGUUCAUCGUAAAAACAUUUUUUAAAAUCCUAAAUCAGUGCAGUAAAAAAAUCUAGGUCUCUCUUUCCCCCUUCAUUCCCCAACUCAUUUUCCACUUCGGAAGUAACCACUGAUAGGAAUAUUCUCUCAGACCAUAUAAAA